GCCAGACGGCGCUUCAGCACAUACAGGACUGCAGGGUUCCAGCUCCAUGCAACACCCAGAAGCAAGAAGUUUUCCUGAGACUUCUCCCCCAGGGAACAGGCCUGUGGACUCUCCCAUAGGGUGCAGGCAGAGAGGAACACACGCCCUCACAGGCGCCACUCACGCAUGUACACACGUGUGUGCAUGCUCCCAGCAAAGCUUCACAGACGCCUUCGGCCGCAUGGGGACAGACUCCCAACCUGCAGACACACAGCUCUGGCCCUCUGCUGCCAAUGGCUCCACCAAAGGGGGACAAAGUACAAAACAAAACAAAAAAAUACACCCAUGACCUUAAAAUCCUUUUAUUCCCGUAAUCACAGGCUGCCAUCGCCGUGGAUACGCGCUGUCACCCCGGCCCCAGCCUGUCUCCCUCCACGGCUUCCAAAACUCCCAGCAGGCAGGCAGACGGGGAGGCUGCCCAGUUUCUGCCGGGGAGGGCAGGGAAGGGAAGGGCCCGGUGGGAGAGGAUCAACGCUACACACGCUCACACACUCGGCCUCCACCGGGGAGAGAGAGAGACUCUGAAAGAGACUUGCAGACAGAGACACAGAAAAAGAAAGGAACACAGCCACCAGCCCUCAAAGACAGAGACCCCUGCCCGCACAGCUCAGAUAGGCCCACUUCCAGAGUCAUAAGCUUAUAUAAAACACACAGACACCCACAAAUCAUCAACACACCCUCUCCAAAAUUCUAAGCACACACAACGCAGAAUACACACAUUCCUAGACUGAGAGACAAAUCCAGCUUUCAGACAUAUACGCUCAGGAUCACAAACACACAUGUAGACCCACGCAACUCCUAGAUCCACAGACACACAUGUCCUGACUCACAAAUACACACAUGCGCAGACUCCCACUCCCUAGGAUAGACACACACACUCAACACACAGACGCACAGAUACGCAGGUCUUGAGUCAUUGGCACACACACCGCCCAGAUGCACCACAUCCCAAACCCACAGAAUAGACCCGCACAGCCAGCCACAUCUAGCAGCUGACACUGCCCUGGGCUUUAGAGGGCAGGUGGAAUGGUUGGAGAUGCCUGGGUCUCUGAGGGGGCAGUCCUUUCUCAGUGCCCGCAGCCUGGGAGGUGGGUUCAGAGUUGGGGGGAAUAAAGGGAGAAGUAAGAGAAUACAAAAAAAAAAAAAAAAAACUUGAGUGGGAUAUUCUUGUUGGGCAGUAGCGCGUGAGUAACCGGGGAGGCUUUUUGUGGUCUGGUGAGUUCCAGCUAUGAGUGAGAGUUUAACUAUUAAUACACUUAAUCAAGGACACUCCACACACACACACACACACACACACACAACCAUCGCAUACACAGGCUAGGACAGGAUCAGGGGGUGGG
rnacentral:lncRNA from 1 species